AAGACCUUGCACUUUUGGAGCGGCCGAUGUCUGAUUAGCUAGUUGGUGGGGUAAUGGCCUACCAAAGCUUCGAUCAGUAGCUGGUCUGAGAGGACGGCCAGCCACACUGGGACUGAGACACGGCCCAGACUCCUACGGGAGGCAGCAGUGGGGAAUUUUGGACAAUGGGCGCAAGCCUGAUCCAGCCAUGCCGCGUGAGUGAAGAAGGCCUUCGGGUUGUAAAGCUCUUUCAGCCGGGAAGAAAAGGUUGCGACUAAUAAUCGCAAUCCAUGACGGUACCGAAAGAAGAAGCACCGGCUAACUACGUGCCAGCAGCCGCGGUAAUACGUAGGGUGCGAGCGUUAAUCGGAAUUACUGGGCGUAAAGCGUGCGCAGGUGGUUUUGUAAGUCAGAUGUGAAAUCCCCGGGCUUAACCUGGGAACU
rnacentral:rRNA from 1 species